UUUUAGCAACCUAAAGGGUAACUGUGCUAAGUUCAUCUAUGUCCAACACAUUAACUGAAAAAAUAACUACACCAUACACUUAUUUUGUAAAAAUUUUUGAGUCUCGUAGUCAGCCAUGAAUGAAGGUGAUGUGGAAACUGAUAAUAAAAAUGAUGUCGAGAAAGAUCUCUUAUAUUUCUACAUGAAUUGAUAAAUGGAAACUGUGAUAGUAAUGACAAUAUAACGGAGACACCAAAUGUAGAGACAAGAGGUGAUGUUAUUCUUCCAGAACUUGAUACCAAUGAUCUUAUAGAAUUAAAUGAUAACUUGAAGAUAGUCAAACAAAACGCCAGAACUUGAUAAUAAAAAAGUAGAGACUGAUAACUGAAAGGAAAUCAAGAUUUUACAAAACGUAACGCUGAAGGAUGCAGGAUAUACUCAUUUUGAAACACAUCUAUUUUGGCCAAAUCCUUUGAAAUCAAAGGAAAAAUCAAGAAAAACAUCAGGAAAUAGAGCUCCCGCAGAAAUUUCUUCAGAAUCUUUUAGAAUUUACUUGAGAGAGAAGCAGGAGAAUUAAACAAUAGAAGAAGAUAAGAUGGAAAAAAAGAAGGAAAGAUAAAAACAGUUUUCUCAAAAGAAAAUUGAAAAGCAGUCAAAGAAGAAGAAAAAUGGCAAAUCAAACAGUACCAUAGAGAUUAAAAAUAAAGAUGUGAUACAAGAAUGAGCUGAAAAAUGUUGAAUGUGAUUUAUGUCCAAGAUGGUUCCAUCUCAAAUGUACCAAAUUCAAUGGCUCGUCCUAUGAAGAAGUAUGUAACCAAGAAUUUAGAUGUGAUUUCUGUUAAGUGAUUUAAGUUUCUAAUAAGAAUUACUUUUGUGAUUUCUUAUAAAUGUGUUCUUUAUUAAAAUAUGAUAUUUUGAAUAAAAUUUUAAUCAAACAAUAAUUUAUGAUAAAACUAUUUACCUUUUAGUUUCU